GUACACGCUGUGACUAGCAUAUCAAUAAGCGGAGGAAAAGAAACUAACAAGGAUUCCCCUAGUAACGGCGAGUGAAGCGGGAAGAGCUCAAAUUUGAAAUCUUAAAGGGUUUCCCUUUACGAAUUGUAGUUUAAAGAAGUGUUUUCUGUUGAGGUUUUGGUAAAAGUUCUUUGGAAUAGGACAUCAUAGAGGGUGAGAAUCCCGUAUUUGACCUUUACUUUCAACUUUGUGAUACACUUUCAAAGAGUCGGAUUGUUUGGGAAUGCAGUCCGAAAUGGGUGGUAAAUUUCAUCUAAAGCUAAAUAUUGGCGAGAGACCGAUAGCGAACAAGUACCGUGAGGGAAAGAUGAAAAGAACUUUGAAAAGAGAGUUAAACAGUACGUGAAAUUGUCAAAAGGGAAGCGUUUGACACCAGUGUUGUUUUUCUGAAAAUCAAUUAAAGAACUGUUUAUGCUAAGCUGUUUAGACUUUAUCAGCUAACUGUUUAGUUUUGAGCUUUUCUUUAAUGCACUUUUCAGUUAACAAGUCAACAUCAAUUUCUUUUGCUGUAAAAAAGCUUGAGGAAGGUGGCUUGAGAUUCGUCUUAAGUGUUUAUAGCCUCUUGCCUAUGCAGUCGGAGAGAUUGAGGUCUGCAGCGUAGAUCCUUCGGGGCUAAAUGCAUUUGUGCUAAGUUAUAGCAUUUUAUAGACAACUUGUUGACUAUGAUUUGUCUUGUAGCUUACUCGCUUAUGUUAUUUUACCUACGCUUAGGAUGUUGAGUCGUAGAGCACGCAG
rnacentral:rRNA from 1 species